rnacentral:rRNA from 1 species
UGGGGAAUAUUGCACAAUGGGGGAAACCCUGAUGCAGCGACGCCGCGUGAGCGAAGAAGGUUUUCGAAUCGUAAAGCUCUGUCCUAUGAGAAGAUAAUGACGGUAUCAUAGGAGGAAGCCCCGGCUAAAUACGUGCCAGCAGCCGCGGUAAUACGUAUGGGGCGAGCGUUGUCCGGAAUUAUUGGGCGUAAAGGGUACGUAGGCGGUCUAUUAGGUCAGGUGUGAAAGCGUGAGGCUUAACCUCAUUAAGCACUUGAAACUGAUAGACUUGAGUGAAGGAGAGGAAAGUGGAAUUCCUAGUGUAGCGGUGAAAUGCGUAGAUAUUAGGAGGAAUACCGGUGGCGAAGGCGACUUUCUGGACUUUUACUGACGCUCAGGUACGAAAGCGUGGGGAGCAAACAG